rnacentral:rRNA from 1 species
AACGAACGCUGGCGGCAGGCUUAACACAUGCAAGUCGAACGCCCGUAGCAAUACGGGAGUGGCGGACGGGUGAGUAACGCGUGGGAACGUACCCUGAGGUACGGAAUAACCGAGGGAAACUUCGGCUAAUACCGUAUGAGCCCCGCAAGGGGAAAGAUUUAUCGCCUUGGGAGCGGCCCGCGUCGGAUUAGCUAGUUGGUGGGGUAACGGCCUACCAAGGCUUCGAUCCGUAGCUGGUCUGAGAGAAUGACCAGCCACACUGGGACUGAGACACGGCCCAAACUCCUACGGGAGGCAGCAGUGGGGAAUAUUGGACAAUGGGGGCGAACCCUGAUCCAGCCAUGCCGCGUGAGUGAUGAAGGCCCUAGGGUUGUAAAGCUCUUUUGUGCGGGAAGAUAAUGACGGUACCGCAAGAAUAAGCCCCGG